rnacentral:rRNA from 1 species
GUGGGGAAUAUUGGACAAUGGGCGCAAGCCUGAUCCAGCCAUGCCGCGUGAGUGAUGAAGGCCUUAGGGUUGUAAAGCUCUUUCGUCAGGGAAGAUAAUGACGGUACCUGAAGAAGAAGCCCCGGCUAACUUCGUGCCAGCAGCCGCGGUAAUACGAAGGGGGCUAGCGUUGCCCGGAAUCAAUGGGCGUAAAGCGCACGUAGGCGGCUUUCUAAGUCAGGGGUGAAAUCCUGGAGCUCAACUCCAGAACUGCCUUUGAUACUGGAGAGCUUGAGUUCGGGAGAGGUGAGUGGAACUGCGAGUGUAGAGGUGAAAUUCGUAGAUAUUCGCAAGAACACCAGUGGCGAAGGCGGCUCACUGGCCCGAUACUGACGCUGAGGUGCGAAAGCGUGGGGAGCAAACAGGAUUAGAUACCCCUGUAGUCC